rnacentral:rRNA from 1 species
CCUACGGGAGGCAGUAGUGAGGAAUAUUGGUCAAUGGCCGGGAGGCUGAACCAGCCAAGUCGCGUGAGGGAAGACGGCCCUACGGGUUGUAAACCUCUUUUGUCAGGGAGCAAGGUGCAGGUCAGUACCUGCUGUGAGAGUACCUGCAGCAAAAGCAUCGGCUCACUCCGUGCCAGCAGCCGCGGUAAUACGGAGGAUGCGAGCGUUAGCCGGAUUUAUUGGGUUUAAAGGGUGCGCAGGCGGAGGCACAAGUCAGCGGUAAAAUCGCGGGGCUCAACCCCGCUCCGCCGUUGAAACUGUUGCCCUUGAGUGCGCGAAGGGUAGGCGGAAUGCGGGGUGUAGGUGUGAAAUGCAUAGAUAUCACGCAGAACUCCGAUCGCGAAGGCAGCCUACCGGCGCGCAACUGACGCUCAUGCACGAAAGCGUGGGUAUCGAACAGGAUUAGAUACCCGGGUAGGC